UACGUAGGGUGCGAGCGUUAAUCGGGAUUACUGGGCGUAAAGCGUGCGCAGGCGGUUUGCUAAGCCCGAUGUGAACUCCCCGGGCUCAACCUGGGAACUGCAUUUGUGACUGCAUCGCUGGAGUGCGGCAGAGGGGGAUGGAAUUCCGCGUGUAGCAGUGAAAUGCGUAGAUAUGCGGAGGAACACCGAUGGCGAAGGCAAUCCCCUGGGCCUGCACUGACGCUCAUGCACGAAAGCGUGGGGAGCAAACAGG
rnacentral:rRNA from 1 species